rnacentral:rRNA from 1 species
GCUGCAUGGCUGUCGUCAGCUCGUGUCGUGAGAUGUUGGGUUAAGUCCCGCAACGAGCGCAACCCUUGUCAUUAGUUGCUACAUUCAGUUGGGCACUCUAAUGAGACUGCCGGUGACAAACCGGAGGAAGGUGGGGAUGACGUCAAGUCCUCAUGGCCCUUAUAGGUGGGGCUACACACGUCAUACAAUGGAUGGUACAAAGGGUCGCCAACCCGCGAGGGGGGAGCCAAUCCCAUAAAGCCAUUCGUAGUCCGGAUCGCAGUCUGCAACUCGACUGCGUGAAGUCGGAAUCGCUAGUAAUCGUGGAUCAGAAUGUCACGGUGAAUACGUUCCCGGGUCUU